rnacentral:tRNA from 1 species
GGAUGUGGCUCAGCGGUAGAGUGCUCGCCUCUCAAGCACAGGCCCUGGGUUCGAUCCUCGACACCA